AAAGUCGUAACAAGGUUUCCGUAGGUGAACCUGCGGAAGGAUCAUUAUUGAAAUCCUUUGGAUGUUGCUGGCCUUUUUGGGGCAAGUGCACUCUGCCUUUUCAUUUCACCUGUGAACUCAUUGUAGGCCCAGAUUGUCACAAAUCUGUGUCUAUGUUAUUUUAAACAUACACAAGUCUUAUCAGAAUGUCUUUUAAAUGCAAGACCUUUAGUGGUCAAAAAUUUAAUACAACUUUCAACAAUGGAUCUCUUGGUUCUC
rnacentral:misc_RNA from 1 species